GCCGAUUAAGUGUUCAUCAGCACAUUGACUUUUCGCGUCAAAAGAGCAUAAAAUGCACUUGGCU
rnacentral:tRNA from 1 species